CGGGCGCGGCUACACAUGCAGUCGAGCGAACUUUUCGGAGUUAGUGGCGGACGGGUGAGUAACGCGUGGGAAUCUGCCUUCGGGAGGGGGACAACAGUUGGAAACGGCUGCUAAUACCCCAUAUGCCGAGAGGUGAAACGGUGAAUUCCGCCUGGAGAUGAGCUCGCGUCUGAUUAGCUAGUUGGUGAGGUAAGAGCUCACCAAGGCGACGAUCAGUAGCUGGUCUGAGAGGAUGAUCAGCCACACUGGGACUGAGACACGGCCCACACUCCUACGGGAGGCAGCAGUGGGGAAUUUUCCGCAGUGGGCGAAAGCCUGACGGAGCAACGCCGCGUGAGGGAGGAAGGCCUGUGGGUUGUAAACCUCUUUUAUCAGGGAAGAAGAACUGACGGUACCUGAUGAAUCAGCAUCGGCUAACUCCGUGCCAGCAGCCGCGGUAAGACGGAGGAUGCAAGCGUUAUCCGGAAUUAUUGGGCGUAAAGCGUCCGCAGGCGGCUUUUCAAGUCUGCUGUUAAAGCCCGCAGCUCAACUGCGGAUCGGCAGUGGAAACUGAGGAGCUAGAGUACGGUAGGGGUAGAGGGAAUUCCCAGUGUAGCGGUGAAAUGCGUACAUAUUGGGAAGAACACCAGUGGCGAAGGCGCUCUACUGGGCCGUAACUGACGCUGAGGGACGAAAGCUAGGGGAGCGAAAGGGAUUAGAUACCCCUGUAGUCCUAGCCGUAAACGAUGGAUACUAGGUGUUGGCCGUAUCGACGCGGUCAGUACCGUAGCUAACGCGUUAAGUAUCCCGCCUGGGGAGUACGCACGCAAGUGUGAAACUCAAAGGAAUUGACGGGGGCCCGCACAAGCGGUGGAGUAUGUGGUUUAAUUCGAUGCAACGCGAAGAACCCUUACCAGGGUGUGACAUCCCGUCGAAUCUCCGAGAAAUAGGAUAGUGCCUUCUGGGAGCGCGGAGACAGGUGGUGCAUGGGCUGUCGUCAGCUCGUGUCGUGAGAUGUUGGGUAAAGUCCCGCAACGAGCGCAACCCUCGUCCUUAGUUGCAUCAUUAAGUAGGUCACCUCCUGGCGAGACUGUAGUUGACAAUCUGUAGUAAUUAUGGAGGAAUGAAAG
rnacentral:rRNA from 1 species